UUUCCUCCUGUGAGCGGCUGUUUCAGGAAGCUCCACUCCACAGGUCAACGUGCUGAGUUUCACGUUAUAGCCUGAAACUGAUCUUCCCAUUCUAGAGUAAAGCAGCUCUUCAUACAAUUUAGACAAGUGAAAACAUCACUGAUUAUUUUAUAUUUAAUUUCUAACAAUAGAUCAAUUCACCUGAAUCUUACACACUGGAGCUUUAAAUGGUCUGUGAGCAACUCUCUUAUCUACUGUAAAGAGAGAGAGGAGGAGCAUGAGAACAGGGACGUGUCAGACUCCAUUUUCACCUGGAUGAGCAGAAGGAAGAAAAGUGAGCAGACUGAAGAUGAGUGGUUAUGAGGAGGAAGAGGAGGACAGAGCAGAGUCUCCAGUGUUCAGCUGUGUGUCUCUGAAGAGUGACCGGUCCAUGGGAGAACCUCCAAACUUCAGUAAUGAACCUGAACCCUCACACACAAAAGGUCAGGACCACAGACUGAGAGCAGAGUCUCCAGGGUCCAGCUGUGUGUCUCUGAA